UACGAAGGGUGCAAACGUUGCUCGGAAUUAUUGGGCGUAAAGCGCACGUAGGCGGCUCGGCAAGUCGGAUGUGAAAUCCCUCGGCUCAACCAAGGAAGUGCAUCCGAAACUGCGGAGCUUGAGUACUUAAGGGGAUCGCGGAAUUCCCGGUGUAGAGGUGAAAUUCGUAGAUAUCGGGAGGAACACCAGUGGCGAAGGCGGCUCACUGGCCCGAUACUGACGCUGAGGUGCGAAAGCGUGGGGAGCAAACAGG
rnacentral:rRNA from 1 species